rnacentral:rRNA from 1 species
GUGAGGAAUAUUGGACAAUGGGCGCAAGCCUGAUCCAGCCAUGCCGCGUGCAGGAAGACGCAUCUAUGGUGUGUAAACUGCUUUUGUACGGGAAGAAACACUCCCUCGUGAGGGAGCUUGACGGUACCGUAAGAAUAAGGAUCGACUAACUCCGUGCCAGCAGCCGCGGUAAUACGGAGGAUCCAAGCGUUAUCCGGAAUCAUUGGGUUUAAAGGGUCCGUAGGCGGUUUAAUAAGUCAGUGGUGAAAGCCCAUCGCUCAACGAUGGAACGGCCAUUGAUACUGUUAGACUUGAAUUACAAGGAAGUAACUAGAAUAUGUAGUGUAGCGGUGAAAUGCUUAGAUAUUACAUGGAAUACCAAUUGCGAAGGCAGGUUACUACUUGUGGAUUGACGCUGAUGGACGAAAGCGUGGGGAGCGAACAGGAUUAGAAACCCCUGUAGUCC